GCUCCGGUAGCCUAGUGGUUAGAGCGUCCGCCUCGGAUGCGGUAGGUCGUUGGUUUGAAACCCGGCUGAGUC